rfam:Actinophytocola xinjiangensis strain CGMCC 4.4663 contig29, whole genome shotgun sequence.
CUUCACCGAACCCACCAGCAGCGGCGUCUCGCGGUCCUGCCCGUAGGUGGCGAGCAGGGCCUGUGCCUC